CUGAUAUCUGUUUUGUGGGCAUUGAUCCGUUGGCGAAGUGUCUGAGAUGUUUGUCCAAUGUACAUAGCUCACUGUUCUCUGUGAUCCUGUGUCACCUAAAGAAUUCUGGAUCAUCUUCAGAGUCCAGCUCGUUAAUAAAUAUAUCAAACGGCACAGGGCCUAGUGCGGAACCGCAGGGCCUUAACUGUUCACUCUUUGUCAGAAUGAAAAUUGAUCGGUUCUAGUCUUUGUUUUGAUUCAUGACAAUACUUUGCCUUUCACUGCAGGAUGACUUAGCUUCUUUAGCUGUCUUGAGUGUAGGACCUUGUCAAAGGCCUUUGAAAGUUUAAAUUGUCAACCAGUUCUCCUUUAUCCACUACUUUAUUGACAAUUUUCUAAUAGAUUAGUGAGACAUUAUUUUCCUUAGAAGGAAGGAUGAAGUGCUCUUAGAUCUUAUGUAUAGAGUGAUUAUACAGGAGUUUUAUCUUUCUAUUUUGUGCUCAUAAUAGCAAUCCAUUUACCAGAUAGAGAUGUAAGGCUUAUUGGUUUGUAAUUCCUCAGAUUGCCCUUAGAAUCUUUUCUAAAUGUUUCUAAAUCUAGGCACAACUAGUUACCCUCAAGCUUCCAGUGAAGUAGCUGUUUAUAACGAGAGGGGACAUAUUUUAGCUAGCAGCUCAGCAACUUCAUUUCUUGAGAGCUCUUGGAUGUAGGCCUCUACCAGUUUGGGGAAUCUGUCUGUACAACUUAUGAAUUCUGGCUAUGAAGCUGUUAUGAAAUUUGUAUCAUGUAACUCCUCUCUGUGGACGUGGAAUCCAGUGGUUGCUGACAAGGCUGUAAGCACAUCUCUCCCAUACAGCUACAGUGGCGAGUCCUUAACCUUGGUGACUAUGCUUUGGAUUGAACAAUUAGUAUGCCAAAGGAAAACUACUUCCUCCAGCUUGUUAACAAGGGGCUGGUGAAGUGCAAACUGGAAAAAACAUCAGCAUCAGAACAGGGAUCCAGGUGUUGGUGGGGAACGUACAAACUUGAGAGACUCGUUGAGACAGCAGGAAGUGCUGUGUAGGUAUCCUAUUUAACUGUGGCCCAGCCACGGGCAGGGGAAGGCAGUGGAGCUAGAAGAACCCCAUGACUGAGGAGAGAAAUCAUGAGCUGCAGGGGGAAUUAUCAGGGACACAACAGAGGGGGGCUCUGCCCAAAGCCAAUGCACCCUUCCCUUGGGGAGGAACCUGAGGCAGGCUAGCACAUACAGAUGUCGUACCUGCAGCUCUCUCGUGCUGUGGACGGAAAAGCAGCGGUGUUCUCUCUCCUGGGCAUCUGUGGGCUUUUGCUGUCCCAGGCCCCGAAGAGGCAUGCUGACAGCCAGGAGGGAAACAGGAAGCCUUUGAUAGGCUCCUGGGGAAUUGGCAAGAGUUGUGGGAGGUCAGGGAAGACAAAACUAAUGUUAGUCAAUUGGAUCCUGGGAUUCCUGGCCAGAGGGGUAUCCGGCAUGAGGUCGGCAUGUGGAGCAUGUGCCUAGAGCGGAGCCUAACAGUGCCCAGGUCCAGCAAGCUAGAGGCACAUUAGGCCAAGGAGGGGAGGCCCUCCCCCCACCACUGCAGUCUGGGACAUGGUCAGCUGAUUAGCGCAAUCAGAGCUGUGAGGAUGGGGAUUCCAAACCGGUUUUAAAUGCAUCCAUUUCUUUUCCCAGCAUGUCCUCUUCCGACACCUCAUUGUCUAAUAGUCCCUUGUCUUUCUUACCAGGAAAGACUGUGUUUGUAGUAGGAGUCUCCCCGGCUGCCUCCGCGGGGAAGACUGGUGCAAAGAUACCGAGCCGCUUCUCACCAAUGUGCUUCUCUUCCUUUAAUUGCACCCAGUCCUCACCCCUGGACAUCCAGCAGGCCCACUGGUUCUUCACAGGCUUCCUGCUUCUAACAGGCUUAAACCACAAGAAAUUCUUGACUCCUCAGCCCUUCUGAUCUCCGUGUACACAAACCCUGCAGUCCUUGAGGCUGCUUUUUGUUGACUUAGUGAGGGUGAGAUUUCCACAUCCUGGGGGGUCUCCAUUUGACUCAAAUGGCCUCUCCUGGCCUGUUUGUUUCUUUGUGGGUUGGGCUUCAUCUCCUGUUCUGUGCCCUGCAGAGACAGGACACAACCAGCCCGCUCCAUGCAAACACCGGGCUGGUUGGGAGCAGCUGUUCCACCGCGGAAGCCCAGGAGCAGACUGCAGCUGCCACGGCUAGCACAUGGAGACCAUGUCUGAGACUAAAAAAAAAUGAGGAAAAGGAAGGAAAAAGGAAAAACCACAAGUAAAGCAUCCUUGAAAGAGAGUAUGGGGUGUGCACCUGUUGGCCGGCCAGCUAUAAAAGCCUAAAGUUACUGAGGGCCAACGAAGAAAGACCCUGGCUCCAUCAUUCCUUCAAGCCACAGAGCAACUGACCUUGCAGUUCUUCACAUCACUUCUUACUGUGCUCGUCUUUUCUGAAAAAUACUGUCUCAUCCUAACUCCAGUUCAGUAGAGCCCUGUGCAGAUACAAAAUUUGUAUCUGCAUCUACAAAAAAGAUCUGCAGAUAUCCACAUCCACUCCUGUGUGGAUACCCACGAAUAUAAAGCUGAUAUUUAGGGUUGGUGUUAUCUGUGAACAAAAACUAUGUGCCAUCACCAAAGAUGUCAAAUGCAAGAAGAAGCAGAAGGCUUUUUACAAUCCAUUAAGAACCAGAGCAUCUCCUGCAAUCUGAUGAUUUAGGUUUCCAAAGGACAGCCCCUUAAAUGCUGACUAUCAACUUGGACUAUCUGCAUGACACUGUGGAAUGCUGACUGUCAUAGACCCUUGAUUCAGAUAUUAUUCAACUAGAAAGCACCUCUGCGAUCAUCUAGUCUGACCUUCUGCAUAUACAGGCCAAUGGGCUGAAUUAAUUCCUAACAGAUCUUCUAGAAAAACAUCCAGUCUUGAUUUUUAAAUUGAGAGUGAUGGGAAACCCACCAUAGCCCUAGAUAAAUAAAUUGUCACAAUGGUUAAUUACUCUCACUGAAAAAUUUCUACCUUAUUUCUGGUUUGAAUGUCUAGCUUCACCUUCCAGUCACUGGAUCUUGUUAGAUCUGUGUCUACGAGACUGAAGAGCCCACUAUCAAGAAAUCGCUGUUCCCUGGUAGGUACCUAGGGCAGGAUCCUCAAAGGAACUUAGGCACUGGAAUGUGUAACUCCGAGGUGCCCAGCAUAGAAUCUUCAGCCCUGAGUUAGAUGUCCAGGCUCCCGAUAUCAGUGAGGAGAGAAGCCAACAAACUGCCUAAGCUGGCCAGAAGUGAAGUGCAUGCAAAAAGCCAUCCUGUUAUAGACCUGGGUUCAAGUCCCUUCUCCAAGGCUGUGUCUA